CCUACGGGAGGCUGCAGUGGGGAAUAUUGCACAAUGGGCGCAAGCCUGAUGCAGCCAUGCCGCGUGUGUGAAGAAGGCCUUCGGGUUGUAAAGCACUUUCAGCGGGGAGGAAGGCGGUGAGGUUAAUAACCUCAUCGAUUGACGUUACCCGCAGAAGACGCACCGGCUAACUCCGUGCCAGCAGCCGCGGUAAUACGGAGGGUGCAAGCGUUAAUCGGAAUUACUGGGCGUAAAGCGCACGCAGGCGGUCUGUCAAGUCGGAUGUGAAAUCCCCGGGCUCAACCUGGGAACUGCAUUCGAAACUGGCAGGCUAGAGUCUUGUAGAGGGGGGUAGAAUUCCAGGUGUAGCGGUGAAAUGCGUAGAGAUCUGGAGGAAUACCAGUGGCGAAGGCGGCCCCCUGGACAAAGACUGACGCUCAGGUGCGAAAGCGUGGGGAGCAAACAGGAUUAGAUACCCGAGUAGUC
rnacentral:rRNA from 1 species